GAUGAACGCUGGCGGUAUGCCUAACACAUGCAAGUCGUACGAGAGUUUUUAACUCUAGUGGCGGACGGGUGAGUAACACGUGAGAAUUUGCCUUUAGGAGGGGGACAACAAUUGGAAACGAAUGCUAAUACCCCAUAUGCUUUCGAGUGAAAUGGAUUUUAUCCGCCUAGAGAGAAGCUCGCGGCUGAUUAGCUUGUUGGUAAGGUAAGAGCUUACCAAGGCGACGAUCAGUAUCUGGUUUGAGAGGACGAUCAGACACACUGGAACUGAGACACGGUCCAGACUCCUACGGGAGGCAGCAGUGGGGAAUUUUCCGCAAUGGGCGAAAGCCUGACGGAGCAAGACCGCGUGGGGGGAGGAAGGGUUCUUGGAUUGUAAACCCCUUUUCUCUGGGAGAAAAAAUGACGGUACCAGAGGAAUAAGCAUCGGCUAACUCCGUG
rnacentral:rRNA from 1 species